UGUCCGCCCGGAUAGCUCAGUCGGUAGAGCGUUGGACUAUUAAUCGGACAAUCCGGGUUCGAUUCCCGGGCGGACCA